UCAGUAUGUGUGUGUGUGUGUUUGUGCAAACAGACCUGAAUUUUGAGCCUGUAUCAGACGAAAAUACAGAUUUUGAGGAAUAAUCAAUUAUUCAGAGAUUGUAAAUGAAGGUUUCUGCAUGGUUUUUUGCCCCCUGGCCAUAAUGGAUUCAACAGCCUACCCAGGGUGGAUCCUGCUUGGUCAGCAUGACACACCCAGAUCAGAUUCACAGUUUGUGGAAGAGGUCAACUUAUAUUGGAUUCUGUACACUGAAAAAAAUGAUUCAUUCAAUUUAAUCAAUUUUUUUAAGGGAGAGGUGUGUUUGCACUUAAACACAUUGAAUCAUCCACAUUUGUUGUAGAAUAUCGUGGAAUACUGUGCCAAAGUAAAUAUGUUGAUGACAUUAAAGGCAACUACUUGUUCGAUUUCAUAUGGAAUGGAGCACAUUAUUGCAUAGAUGCUUCAAAAGAGGAUGGAUCGCUAGGACGACUGGUGAACGAUGAUCACAAAAAUCCAAACUGCAAAGUCAAGACGGUUGUUGUUGAGGGAAAGCCGCACCUGUGUCUAUUUAGUCUAAGAGACAUUUGUCCAGAUGAAGAAAUUACUUACAAUUAUGGGGAUUCCUCUUGGCCCUGGCGUU